UACGUAGGGUGCAAGCGUUAUCCGGAAUUAUUGGGCGUAAAGAGCUCGUAGGCGGUUUGUCGCGUCGAAUGUGAAAACCCGGGGCUCAACCCCGGGCCUGCAUUCGAUACGGGCAGACUAGAGUUCGGUAGGGGAGUCUGGAAUUCCUGGUGUAGCGGUGAAAUGCGCAGAUAUCAGGAGGAACACCGGUGGCGAAGGCGGGACUCUGGGCCGAUACUGACGCUGAGGAGCGAAAGCGUGGGGAGCAAACAGG
rnacentral:rRNA from 1 species